GACGAACGCUGGCGGCGUGCUUAACACAUGCAAGUCGAACGAAGUGGCGAACGGGUGAGUAAUACGUGGGUAACCUGCCCUCCUUUUUGGGAUAAGCCUUGGAAACGUGGUCUAAUACCGAAUAAAGGGGGAUGGUCGCGCGGCCUAUCGGUUUGUUGGUGGGGUGAUGGCCUACCAAGGCGGUGACGGGUAGCCGGCCUGAGUGGGUGACCGGCAAAAUUGGGAGUGGGAUCCGGCCCAGAUACCUAGGGGGGGAAGAGGUGGGGGGUAUUGCAAAAGGGGGGAAAGCCUGAUGAAGCGAGGCGGCGUGGGGGAUGAAGGCUGUGGGGUUGUAAACCUCUUUCGCUAUCGAAAGGGUAGGUGGAGAAGAAGCGCCGGCUAACUACGUGCCAGCAGCCGCGGUAAUUC
rnacentral:rRNA from 1 species